rnacentral:rRNA from 1 species
ACAGCAGUCGCCGCGGUAAUACGAAGGGUGCAAGCGUUAAUCGGAAUUACUGGGCGUAAAGCGUGCGUAGGCGGUGAGUUAAGUCUGCUGUGAAAUCCCCGGGCUCAACCUGGGAAUGGCAGUGGAUACUGGCUCGCUAGAGUGAGUCAGAGGAUGGUGGAAUUCCCGGUGUAGCGGUGAAAUGCGUAGGGAUCGGGAGGAACAUCAGUGGCGAAGGCGGCCAUCUGGGACAAUACUGACGCUGAGGCACGAAAGCGUGGGGAGCAAACAGGAUUAGAUACCCGCGUAGUCCCUGUCUCUUAUAC